UGCCAAGCUACUCCUAUCCCUACCUCCUAGUGGUACUGGCCGGGAUACGAGUAACCUUAGGGAAGA
rfam:Aedes aegypti strain Liverpool supercont1.176 genomic scaffold, whole genome shotgun sequence.